rnacentral:rRNA from 1 species
UUACCGAAUUCAGACAAACUCCGAAUGCCAAUUAAUUUAACUUGGGAGUCAGAACAUGGGUGAUAAGGUCCGUGUUCGAAAGGGAAACAGCCCAGACCACCAGCUAAGGUCCCAAAAUAUAUGUUAAGUGGAAAAGGAUGUGGCGUUGCCCAGACAACUAGGAUGUUGGCUUAGAAGCAGCCAUCAUUUAAAGAGUGCGUAAUAGCUCACUGGUCGAGUGACGCUGCGCCGAAAAUGUAUCGGGGCUAAACGAUUCACCGAAGCUGUGGAUUGACAUCUACGAUGUCAGUGGUAGGAGAGCGUUCUAAGUGCGUUGAAGUCAGAUCGGAAGGACUGGUGGAGCGCUUAGAAGUGAGAAUGCCGGUAUGAGUAGCGAAAGACGGGUGAGAAUCCCGUCCACCG